rnacentral:lncRNA from 1 species
UGAGCUCUCUCUGGAGCCCCAAGACCACAGGCAAAACACAGUACGUGACUCUUACUUGUACAGGCUGUUGUUUGUCCUGCUUCAGCAGACUGGUACCAGUUGCCUGGAUCCCGACAGGCUUCUUCCUCAACACGUGCUGGCGUAGGAGUUGUAACUCACAGUUUCUUUCAGCCAAAGCAUGCACCAUCUUCUCAGUAGUGGCUUUGCUCCACUGCUCCUUGGUGCUCAUGGCCUGCAGCAGCUCCCGGAUUUCAGCAUCAUGCUCCAUAGCUUGACGAUUCC